rnacentral:rRNA from 1 species
CCUACGGGGGGCAGCAGUGGGGGAUAUUGCACAAUGGGGGGAACCCUGAUGCAGCGACGCCGCGUGGGUGAAGAAGAGCCUCGGCGCGUAAAGCCCUGGCAGCAGGGAAGAAAAUGACGGUACCUGAAGAAGAAGCCCCGGCUAACUACGUGCCAGCAGCCGCGGUAAUACGUAGGGGGCAAGCGUUAUCCGGAUUGACUGGGUGUAAAGGGGGCGCAGACGGCGAGGCAAGCCAGGAGUGAAAGCCCGGGGCCCCACCCCGGGACUGCUCUUGGAACUGCGUGGCUGGCGUGCAGGAGGGGCAGUCGGAAUUCCUGGUGUCGCGGUUACCUGCGUCGAUAUCAGGCG